rnacentral:rRNA from 1 species
GACGAACGCUGGCGGCGUGCUUAACACAUGCAAGUCACGGGGGCUCGCAAGAGCAACCGGCGAACGGGUGCGUAACACGUGAGCAACCUGCCGAUCUGAGGGGGAUAGCCGGCCCAACGGCCGGGUAAUACCGCAUACGUUCUCGAGGGGGAGUCCUCUUGAGAAGAAACCUCCGGGGCAGAUCGAGGGGCUCGCGGCCUAUCAGCUAGUUGGUGAGGUAACGGCUCACCAAGGCANCGACGGGUAGCUGGUCUGAGAGGAUGGCCAGCCACAUUGGGACUGAGAGACGGCCCAGACUCCUACGGGAGGCAGCAGUGGGGAAUCUUGCGCAAUGGCCGAAAGGCUGACGCAGCGACGCCGCGUGUGGGAUGAAGCAUUUCGGUGUGUAAACCACUGUUGCCCGGGACGAACAUCCUCUUUCGAGAGGACUGACGGUACCGGGUGAGGAAGCACCGGCUAACUCCGUGCCAGCCGCCGCGGU